rnacentral:rRNA from 1 species
GAAUAUUAGUCAAUGGCCUAACGGCCGAACUGGCAACUUAGGGAAAUGACAAUUGGUUAUCAAAUGAAGUUUUGUCUAUAUAUUGAUAAUGACAAUAUAUAUAAAAAGUCUUGACUAAUUACGUGCCAGCAGUCGCGGUAAUACGUAAGAGACAAGUGUUAUUCAUCUUAAGUAGGUUUAAAGGGUACCUAGACGGCCAACAUGACUUUAUAAGUAGUAUUUGGCUAGAGUUUUAUGUAAGAAGUACAGUACUUUUAGGUGGAGAGAUGAAAUUCUGUGAUACUCUAGGGACUGGUAAAGGCGAAGGCAGUCUUCUAUGUAAAAACUGACGUUGAGGGACGAAGGCUUAGGUAACGAACAGGAUUAGGCACCCCAGUAGUCUCUGCAGACAAUGAUGAAUGCCAUAGAUUAGACAUAGUUUGGUCUAUAAAUGAAAGUGUAAGCAUUUCACCUCAAGAGUAAAGUGGCAACACCGGAACUGAAAUCACUAGACCGUUUCUGACACCAGUAGUGAAGUAUGUUAUUUAAUU